rnacentral:rRNA from 1 species
UACGUAGGGGGCAAGCGUUGUCCGGAUUUAUUGGGCGUAAAGAGCUCGUAGGCGGUUCCGUAAGUCGAGUGUGAAAAAUCUGGGCUCAACCCAGUGGAGCACUCGAUACUGCGGUGACUAGAGUACGGUAGAGGAGUGUGGAAUUCCUGGUGUAGCGGUGAAAUGCGCAGAUAUCAGGAGGAACACCAAUGCGAAGGCAGCUCGCUGACGGUCGACUGACGCUGAGACGACGAAGCGUGGGGAGCAAACAGG